CCGUGUGUAGGCUAGUCAGGUUAGGUCGUCUGGUUUGGGGCCAGAAAGUCGAAGGUUCGAAUCCCUUCCACACGG
rnacentral:tRNA from 1 species